rnacentral:lncRNA from 1 species
GGAUGGAGGGAGAAAAGAAUAAAGGGGAUAACAAGAAAAAUGAGAGGGGACUCCACUUAUUAUUUUCCUUCUGAUUUUUUUUCCGUUGAGAAUAAGGAUAUUCAUUCCAUCUUCCUCUCAACACCCUCUCCAUCUCCUUGAUAAAAAUUCUUUGCAAAAAUAUGUUGUUUCAAUAGAGUUUAUGAUGAUGUGCUUUUUUUGUGAUCAAUCUGUGUCGUCGGUUCCUUCGCGACUUGUCAAGAGGAAGUUCGAACCGGUCUGGUUUUGAAGAUCUUAGAACUUGAUUACAGUACAAUUUUUGUGCUCUAUUUCAUCCCCUCACUUUAUUAAGGUCUUAUUUGUCGCAUAUUAAUAUUGAAUCACAUCCUAUAAAUUAAGUUAAAUAAUCUUGCAAAAAAAUUUAUCAGACUUCCUUUUGUUUCAUAUAUGUUUUUCAACUGACAUUAUUUCUCUUUAAUAUAUAGUUCCUAGCUCAAUUUAUACUUGUUGGAUCCUUGUGUCUAGUUUUAGUACUGCAUGAUUUAUCAUAUUCACUCAUUUAUAAUAGAAAGUUGCAUGCAUUACUUUACUAUCAGUGUUGAAUCACAUUCUUGACUUGAAAUUUGCUAACCGUUGAUUUUUUCACCGUUGAUUUUUUCAGAUUCAUUCAUCUAUGUCUUCCAUUAUGCUGAUUUUUUAACAUGAAUUUUGUGUGGUUGUGUUCUGCUAUUUUUCUCCUUGGGUUUUGUUUACACUAAUGUGAUAUUUGGGCUUAAGCUAAUUUGUUUAUUUUUUCCAAGCCCAUUAACUCUUUCUUAACUUAAUGAUAUUUUUGUUUGUUUGUAUUUUAGUUAUCGAGGACUCUUAUGUGCUAUUGUUUAUAGAGUGGUUUUUCUAUUCAUCAUUUAUAAUGUAACCCGUAUAUAAUUUACUAUGUUAACUUUGGUCAUGGUUGUGUAAGAUAAACUCAAUGUUAAUUGGAUAGGGAAUUCACGAGUAAAUUCCAACAUCAUAUAAGCAAUUGAACUUAAAUUUCUUCCAUUAAAUUACAAGGUUGUAACUAAUAGGUAUUACAUUAUAGCAUUUUAUUUUAUUUAGUAUUGAAAAUAGAUGUUGUAUUAAGAAUUUUUUUAAGACCGUUUUUGUUUGAAUGCUUGUUUUCUUUUUCAAAAUCUCGAAACACUUUAUCCAAUGUCAAGCAUUUUACCUCCGUCACAUCCAAACUCUUUUCAUAAUCAAAUGAUAAGUCAAACACAUUUUCAUAAUAAACUUGGACAAAAAAGGAGGUGGUCUGGAGCCUUCCAUUCCCUUCCCCGAGUACUUGGAUACGAGUAGCCUUACUCGGUCAUUCGAGUAUUUGUCGUCCAUUCAAAAUACAUUAAGUUUAUCUAAAUGCUUUUGCAACUAAGGAUGAAAAAGGAUAUGGUCUAGAGCCUUCUAUUCCUCUUCUCGAGUAUUUCGAUACAAGUUUCCUUAUUCGAACAUUCGAGUAUUUGUCAUCCAUUUAAAAAAUCUUAACAAUAUCAAACUCCUUUUGCAAAUAAGGAUGAAAAAGGAGAUGGUGUGGGGCCUUUGAUUCCUCUCCUCAGUUAUUUGAAUACGAGUUGUCUUCCUUGACUAUCCGAGUAAUCGUCAUUCAAACGAAAUAUUCAACAUAUUAACUCAACUUUGUUAGAACAAGAUUUUGGUUUUGCAAUAUAUCUCUUAAGUUUUGAUGAUAACAAGAAUGAAACAUUUUGGUACCCUAAUAAAUUCUCUAAGUGUGCAGGACUCUAAGGUAAAUUGAAUCUAAUGGAACACUAUCUGAUGUAAACCAAGUCCAGAAUAGAUGAUUCAAAAAUUCAUAAAUCAUAUCUGACGCUGACCACAAGCAUGUCCAAAAGAAUCACACACGAAAUCUGUCAAUGAAGUUCAUCUGAAGACUCUACAAUCUAAAGACAUCUGAAGACUCUGGAUAUUUUUACAUAAGAAGUCACUCAAUCUGAAGAUUAUUCAAGCUGACUCUGAAGACAAUUAUACAAACAAACUAUCUGAAGAAUACAAGCGCUACCCAAAGACUCUGAACUCCGCUCACCCUGAUUCACGCUCAACAGAUCAUCUGAUCAAUCAAAAUUGGAAACUUAACGAAGAAGUUUUCCAAGUAUGGUAUGGAUCUAUAUAUGGAUAGUAUUGACUACACUCCAAGACUUCUAUGGAAAGGACAAGAAAAUUAAUGACAUUAAGUCCCAUUAUUUGCAAGAUAUCACAAUCAACAUUCUCUCCAACGGUAUCAUCUCUAAGCACUAUAAAAAGGUCUCACUAUCAUCAUACCAAAACACAAAGCUAUCAAACAAGAAUUCCACUAUAUACCUUGAAUCAUAUAUUAAAUUCUUGUCAUUGUACAAUUCAGUCAUCUGUUUGAAAUCGUGUUCAUCUUGCUUAUAUAGGAGCACCAAACACAUUAUUGUAUUUCUUGAUAGUUGUUGUAAUUCCUCAAGUGACUUGUGAAGUCUCUAGACUUGAGAGGGCUAAGAGACUAUUAAACUCUUAGACGUUUGUUGUAAUCUUUCUAGAUUAUUGGAUUAAGUCCUUAUUGAAGGCAAAAUCACCUUGGCCGGGUGGACUGGAGUAGCUUUGUUUUUCAACCGAACCAG